UGCCCCAGUAACGGCGAGUGAAGCGGCAACAGCUCAAAUUUGAAAUCUGGCUCUCGGGCCCGAGUUGUAAUUUGUAGAGGAUGCUUUUGGUGAGGUGCCUUCCGAGUUCCCUGGAACGGGACGCCAUAGAGGGUGAGAGCCCCGUCUGGUUGGACGCCGAACCUCUGUAAAGCUCCUUCGACGAGUCGAGUAGUUUGGGAAUGCUGCUCUAAAUGGGAGGUAUAUGUCUUCUAAAGCUAAAUACCGGCCAGAGACCGAUAGCGCACAAGUAGAGUGAUCGAAAGAUGAAAAGAACUUUGAAAAGAGAGUUAAACAGUACGUGAAAUUGUUGAAAGGGAAGCGCUUGUGACCAGACUUGGGCUUGGUUGAUCAUCCGGGGUUCUCCCCGGUGCACUCUUCCGGCCCAGGCCAGCAUCAGUUCGCCCUGGGGGACAAAGGCAUCGGGAACGUGGCUCUCUCCGGGGAGUGUUAUAGCCCGUUGCGUAAUACCCUGUGGCGGACUGAGGUUCGCGCAUUCGCAAGGAUGCUGGCGUAAUGGUCAUCAGUGACCCGUCUUGAAACACGGACCAAGGAGUCGUCUUCGUAUGCGAGUGUUCGGGUGUCAAACCCCUACGCGAAAUGAAAGUGAACGCAGGUGAGAGCUUCGGCGCAUCAUCGACCGAUCCUGAUGUUUUCGGAUGGAUUUGAGUAAGAGCAUACGGGGCCGGACCCGAAAGAAGGUGAACUAUGCCUGUGUAGGGUGAAGCCAGAGGAAACUCUGGUGGAGGCUCGCAGCGGUUCUGACGUGCAAAUCGAUCGUCAAACAUGGGCAUG
rnacentral:rRNA from 1 species